rnacentral:lncRNA from 1 species
CUCUGUUAUUAGUUGACUGUGUGCUAAUAAUAGGACACUGGAACAUUUUCAUGCUUAUUAAUAGAAUCAUGUCAAUUUUCUAGAAAACUUGCAGUCUUCUUUUUCCACGAUAAAAAGUACAGCAUUCACCAUUCACACUUUAUAGUCAUUUUAAUAGGCAAUUACAAAGCCAUUAUAACUCUCCAUGUUCUCCUGCUAAUAGGAAAUACAGAGUACACUAUAUAUACACUGUUGUAUUGUUAAUUUUCCCUUCUCCAUAGCCAGGAAAAUGGUUGAAGGAGAAGAGCAGCACUUCUGAUUUGUGUUUACUUGGAAGUCCCACAGAAUUCAAUGGUAUUUGCUCCCCCGAAAGUGUGUUAUAGGUUGCAUUUAAUGUUAAACCCACCCAGAAUAGACCAAUUGAAAAUUAUGGGCAUAACUAACUUAGGUUGGGACGCGGGUGGCGCUAUGGGUUAAACCACAGAGCCUAGGACUUGCUGAUCAGAAGGUCAGCGGUUCGAAUCCCCAUGACGGGGUGAGUUCCCGUUGCUCAGUCCCUGCUCCUGCCAACCUAGCAGUUCGAAAGCACGUCAAAGUGCAAGUAGAUAAAUAGGUACCGCUCCAGCAGGAAGGUAAACGGCGUUUCUGUGCGCUGCUCUGGUUCACCAGAAGCGGCUUAGUCAUGCUGGCCACAUGACCCGGAAGCUGUACGCCGGCUCCCUCGGCCAAUAAAGCGAGAUGAACGCCGCAACCCCAGAGUCGGUCACGACUGGACCUAAUGGUCAGGGGUCCCUUUACCUUUAACUUAGGUCCAGAAAUGUUAAUGGGUCUACCCUGAGUAGAACAGCUGGUUACAAACUAUAGGACUUUACUGUCUUUUGGAGAAGUAAAAAUCCAGAUCAGUGUAUCUGAGAGCUAUUGGGCUAUAAUCAGGGUGUCUCAAGUGACUGUAUUGUAUUGAAGUUGCUGGAAAAGCAUGCCUGUAUUUUUCCAUGGGGCUUGAGCAGUGAUAUUUUUCUAGAAAAAGAGUUGCCAGAACUCAUCAUGAACUCCUCUAUUGUUCUCUUGCAAUGACAAUGGUGAUCACCUGAGAUGUGCCAAAACUGUGUUCUGGUAAGUUCCAGCUGGGAAAAAAGCCCUGGGCUUGAGAUGGAGACCUGCUGUAAAUUUCCAUUACAGAGGUGGAGUGAUCUAACUCUUUACAGCCCAGUCACAUGCAGUCACAAUACUUGGAUGGGGUUACAAGAUGUUUGCAUAUGUUAAUGAAGAAAGUCCUCCAUCAUAGACCACAUUGGUUUUUGUUCUCAACUGCUGAGAAGAACAGACGUGCUUUCUCCCUGGAAAAAGCAGCCUGAGGCAAAUAGGUUGGAAAUGGGAGAGAGAAGGAGGUUUGAAUAAUAAAGUCAUGUCUUUACUGAGAGUGGUAUAUAUCUGAUGCAACAUAUUUCCAUUGUUUUUGUAAUGUUUGGAGCUAAGUUCUGUUAGUAAAGCUUUUUGAACCAUUUUUGGGGGGCUGGAGAAGUUAAUUUCUAAAUGGGAAUUAGUUUACAAAGAGAAAAAGUUCUGCUUGAGUUAAUUUACAAAAUCCGUCAAAGCAGAACUUUGCACUUCUACAGUUAAAGUUUCAAAAUUUUUAUUAUUAUUAUUAUUAUUAUUAUUAUUAUUAUUAUUAUUAUUAUUUACACUCCCCACCCACCUUUUCUCUUUUUCCUAAAGAUAUUCUGUAAUGCUGCUGCCUUGGCAAUCAUCACCAUAUUUUUUCCCCUUUCUCCAUUUGUUUUAUUCUUCCAUUAUUGUUAUGGCCAACGCAUUGCACCGCCUGCCUCUGAUUCUCUCUCUCUCCCUAACCACUAAAGUCUCAUAACAAACCGACAGAAACAUUUACCUGAGGAAGCUUAACAAAAAGAAAACCCCCCAAAGAAUAUAGAACAUGCUGCCCAUCAUGAUGCUACUAACACACACAAAAACCUCUUUGCUAAAAAAACCACGUCCUUUGAAUACAUUUCCAUGAAAGGUCAGGUAAAGGGUUAGAACUACUGGGGUUUUGUCCUCAGAGAGGGAGGGAUUCCAAACAGCCGAGCGUUUUAAACAUUUAUCUAAAAAUAAAAAUUUAAAAGAUAGGUGCUCAGCCUACCAAAAUAGAUUUAAUUUUCUUUUAAUGUUCCUGUAAGCCUGCCAAGAUUUAAAUUGGAUGUCUGGAUUCAAUUCUGGUGGAAGGAAAAUGAUAUUACCCAGUGCAAGCCCACUUUGGGAAAGUUGAGAGCUUUAAAAGUUUUAUUUGCUCAUCAAAAUAACAUGCCCAAGCAGUGCACAGCCUACGAGUCUUUCAAAGGCAACCUAUUGCACACACCCAGAAGCUAUCCAUCUCCUGGCAUAUUUCAUAUGACUGUGCCAGGGGCAAAGUGUAAGGCUUUUAAAUAUCAGAGAGGAAUUCUUAUUUAAUUGACUCUCCAUUUGAUGGGCCUUGCCCACUUAUACCUAUCUGCUUCCCUUCCUUCAUUAAUUCGGCCUCACUGUGGUCAUCUGUCAUUCUGCUGCUUCUGAAGAUGCUCCACUCUAAUGUGCUCUUUGCUGCUGGAUGCUGUUGCUUCUGCCUCUUCUACUGGACCAAUGUAAGAGAAACAGAAGAGAAAAAGACUCUUUCGGAAACACAGGAGAUGAACAUCGCGUCAUCAAUUUUUGUCCUCUCUUCAUAUGCAAAGCACAACAUCCAGCAAUUAUCAAAUAAAUGGUUCUCAAGUUGUGAACGGUGUCUGUUCCAAUAUGCAACAGAACAAUCAAAUAUUUCAUUGGUCAUUCCUGUUUGAUUCCCCCCUCCAAUUUUCUCAGAAUCCUCUUUCGGAAAACUAUCAUUAUUAGGCUAUGCAUGGAACGUUAUCAUUUCCAGCCACUUACACUGGCUUAAAUUGUUUUAGGACUUUUUUCAUUAUUUUCUCUGGAAAAUUGUAACCGAUCCUCAAUUAGAGCCAUGUAUUAGAUGUCCAGACUAUUCUUUUUCUUAUUGUUAUUAGUCAAUCACUUUGCACAAAAGUCUCAGAGAGACUUCACAAAAUAAAUGCAACAAAUUUAAAACCUGGAAAAAAGCAAAAUACAAAAAUGCUAACCCAGAAUACAUAAAGUGCUUACCCAAUGACACACAUAUUGAUGACAAGUCCAUAUUAAUGAGCUAUAGAGGCAUCCAUACUAAGGCAUUUCUUGGUAACGGUGAACAAAUGCACUGUGAAAAUGGAAUAUAUUAUUUACAGUAUGAGAAGACUGAACGAAAUACACACACCUGAAUUCAACCCACAAUCCAGCAGCCACAUCUUACACUGGGUAGCACAGAAGUGAAUUGCAAGCUGUUGUGGAAAAGUUUUUUUAAAAAAAGGAUUAAAGAAAAGAAAACUUCACUCAACGAAACAGAACAGAAGAUGUGGAUGAAAAAUAUAUUAUGACCUCAUAUUAUAAAUGAACAGUUAGAGAAAGAAAUGGUUGGAAGCCAUGCAUAAGUCAGAAACACAUUCAAUCACUGGGAAAACUGUGCACAAUUCAACCACCUUGCUAUAAAAAUGGUUCUUAGAACAUUCUUUUUCAACGAGUUACAGGUGGCAAAAAUAACUGCAGUGUGAUUUUGGCAUUUGUUUUCUUCACAAAAGGUGUACAGGUAGUGGAAACAUUCAGUGGAUGGAAAGACACUAAACAGUAACCAGUAAACUAUCUGGUAGGCCUACAGAUGCUGCUGAACUACAGCUCCCAUCAGUGCCAGCCAGAAUGGCCAAUGGCCCAGGAUGAUGGGAGUUGUAUUAAACAGAUUCAUGCACCAUAUUACAGAAGAAACAGAAUAGAUGGACCUAAUGAGGCAGGCAUGGAUUUAGUUAAUCUUUCGUAAUAUGGCACCCAGUAUGAGGCCAAAAUUUGGUGCCCCAAAAUGGAUCUUCUCAAUUAUGGAUCUUCUCAAUUUUGCAUCCCUUCAGCUCUGCGCUCUGUGUGGGUGGAUGUCCCAAACAGCCUUAAAUCUAGCACUGAGUAUGGCCCAUCAUUGUGCUUUACAACAUUUUCAAGAUUUUGGACACUUCUGUUAGGAGAGAGAGUCCUCUUUUGAUGUUGAGUUGAUGAACUCCACAACUCACAGUCAGAACAUAUAAAGGUUCUUUUCCAGUUUCAGUGGUUGAGCUGGUUUUGAUAUGAAGACUUGAGUCAAAAUUCCUGUUUGCUUAUGGAGCUCCAUGGGUGGCCUCAGGAAAUGUACUGUCUACCUUUCUAACCCUCCAUAUUUAUUAUGUAGAAAAGUGAGACUGGUGCACACGUUACAUUUAAUUCUGCUUUCUCCCCUAAGAAGAAAUGUAAAAAAAAAGCCUCCAUUAAGAACCCUGCUGGCAUGUGCACCAAUCACAAAAUUCAUUGCUGACCAACUUGGGUCUGUCUAGGUCAGCUUCAUUUCUCCCUCUACCACUCACUAUUGAUUUUUAUUUUUUUUUAUUUUUAAUGCUAUAAUUUUCAUUUAACUUUUGAAAGAAGUGGAUGAAAUUUGCCUGCCAAAUUUCAGAAGGAUUGCUGUAGUGGUUUUCCUACAAGGGCAGCCAUUGCAAUUGGGUGAUGGGUGGUGUUUUUUUGUUUGUUUGUUUGUUUUAAGGAAUUGCUUAAUCUCUUCUAAUAUUUUGUGAGCAAUUAGUUUCAAAACUGCAGACAUGAAAACGGUGUCCCUGGGUAUUAGAAACAAAACGCACACACAGUGCCAAAUUGCAAACAAAUAGUCUGGCAUUUUUUGUGAUAACUAUCUUUGAAUUAUUUUUGUGUGUGUGUGUGGUGGGGUGGGGAAUUCAAAGUGAUUUACUUUCUAUGCAAAGUCGUUCCAUCCGAUUUCAAGAUUAACCUGUCAGUUAAAAUGAAGAUGUCCCUCUACCAUCUCCCCUCUACUUCCUGUAAUCUUUCUUAAGCUUAGAGACAUUUUCGCUCUUGCAAAGCUGCUCCCUCUCCAAAGCAUUGGAGACUGCUGCUAAAAUCAUUACCUCUGAUUAUAAACUAGACCUGUCAGUCACACAGCAGCUCCCCUCUCCCGCCUUCUGAUCCUGGUGUUUUCUUUAAGCUAGAGACAUAAGUUUUGAUUCUGCAAACCUGCUUGAGAUGGUGAGCUUAGAAAUAUAGUUAUGCUUUUAAUUGACAUUUGUCUGCAGCGUUUUCUAAAAUGUCUGGGUUGCUCAGACACUAUGAAUCACUUCAGGUGGCCGUGCACUGGGUAACUCGGCUCUAUAGAGAUUCUCCCUCACCUCAAAUGAACCCAAGGCUCCUCAGAGGCAUCCUGCCUCCGUUUGGGAUUCAUCCAGAUCCCAUAUACAGCCCUAGUGUGCUCCCCUGUUUAGUAUAUUUGUUACAUUACCAGCAUCUAUGUGAAGCCUGAAUGAGUAAUCAGGGUUCAGCAGACAGUACAAUAACAAUGUACAGUGGUACCUCGGGUUAAGUACUUAAUUCGUUCUGGAGUUCCGUUCUUAACCUGAAACUGUUCUUAACCUGAAGCACCACUUUAGCUAAUGGGGCCUCCUGCUGCCGCUGCGCCACCGGAGCACGAUUUCUGUUCUCAUCCUGAAGCAAAGUUCUUAACCUGAGGUACUAUUUCUGGGUUAGUGGAGUCUGUAACCUGAAGCGUAUGUAACAUGAAGUGUAUGUAACCCGAGGUACCACUGUACACUUGAGUACAUUCUUGGUUCUUUUGGAUUGUGACAGCUGUAUUGAAUUUGCAUUGCUUUCCUUUUUUAAAAAAACAACAACAACCAUAUGUAUAAUUUUUUUGGCAAAGCGUGUUUAAGGAGAUAACAGAAAUCACUGGGUUAAAACUGACCAAAAGUCCAGAGGUAGCACUAUUAUCAAUUUACGAUGGGGUGGAAGGUUCACAGGACUUGCUCACAAAUUUAUUGACAGCUGCACGAAUUAUGAUAGCUAGGAAGUGGAAGGGGCAAGCAGAAUAUAAAAUGGAAGAAUGGUAUAAAGAGGUGUGUGAUAUAGCUAUUAAUGAUAAAUUAACAUGUGUCAUUAAGGUAAGAUGGGGAAUAUGCAGGAGAAAUGGUUUUGAGGAGAUAUGGAGGGUGUUUGUAGAAUUUGUACUGUUAAAACGGAAAGGGGUCAAACCAUCUCAAGAGGUGUUGAAGUUUUGGGAGGUUGGGUAGUUACAAUGGAAUGGUCUUGGUGGUGGGGUGCACACUUUUAUUCUUAUUUAUUUAUGAUGAUUAUUUUGUCAAAAUAAAAUAACCCAUAAAACUAGAACCUGUCUUUCCUCCAAGAAGUUCAAGCUGGCAUACAUGGUUCUUACCAUGUCGUGCUAACAUCAAUACUGUGAGAGGUAGGUUAGGCUGAGCGACUAUGACUAGUAAUGAGCUGCAUGGCUGGGUGGGGAUUUGAACCCUGGUCUCCAGAUCCUAGUCCACUACAUACCACAUUGGCUUCCACUGAAUUUAUUUUCCAAUUUUGGCUUUUGUCUGUUGCCCAGUAGAACUGCUGUGCAUUUUUGUGUCUUAAAAGAACAACAGCAGCUGCAAAAGAUCUAGAGAGAACAAGGCCAGCACCUUGCAAUUUAUUGCCUUGUCAUAAUUGUUCAUUUGCCCCAGGAAGGAGUGUAUAAUAAAUCACUUAUCCAAAUGAGUUUGGGUAUUCUACGUUAAAGACAUUUGAGUUUAAAACUGCUAUUCUUGGCCAAUUUACAAUGGAUAAUUCUUGCUACCUGGUUAUGUCUCACAAGGUAAUCAAUACUUGACAGAGCAGGGCAACCUGUAAUGAUGCAAUCUAUUGACUGGGUGUGUGACUGCAUUCAUGCUGUUUGUCAUUAGUUGUAAUUUUGGGGACAAAUCUGUCAUUGGAUCUUGAAUGGCAGCUAUAAUAUACUCUGCUUGAACACGAAAGUUUGCUCUGUGUUCAAGAGUGUAAUUGAUUUCUUUACUCUUGGCAGGAGCAUCACUCAGACUCCAGCCCAUCUUCAUUUUGCAUCUCUUAGGAGCAGAAUUAGAGAAGGGGUAGGGCCAACUCCCCUCCUCUCCAGUCAUCCUCACCAGGAAUGAUGGGAGUUGUGGCCUAAGAGCAUGUAGAGGGCCAAAGGUUGUCCACUCCUGAAUUAGAGAUUUGAUUUGCUGAAUGGCGCUGUGGGUUAAACCACAGAGCCUAGGACUUGCCGAUCAGAAGGUCAGCGGUUCGAAUCCCCACGACGGGGUGAGCUCCCGUUGCUCGGUCCCUGCUCCUGCCAACCUAGCAGUUCGAAAGCACAUCAAAGUGCAAGCAGAUAAAUAGGUACUGCUCCGGUGGGAAGGUAAAUGGCGUUUCCGUGCGCUGCUCUGGUUCGCCAGAAGCAGCUUAGUCAUGCUGGCCACAUGACCCGGAGGCUGUACGCCAGUUCCCUUGGCCAGUAAAGUGAGAUGAGUGCCGCAACCCCAGAGUCAGCCACGACUGGACCUAAUGGUCAGGGGUCCCUUUACCUUUAACACAAUCUUAUUUCUUGGGAAGGGAGAAUUUGCAAUUGUUG